rnacentral:rRNA from 1 species
ACGUAGGGUGCAGGCGUUAAUCGGAAUUACUGGGCGUAAAGCGUGCGCAGGCGGCUCCUUAAGUCAGAUGUGAAAGCCCCGGGCUUAACCUGGGAACUGCGUUUGAAACUGGGGAGCUAGAGUGUGGAAGAGGGGGGUGGAAUUCCAGGUGUAGCAGUGAAAUGCGUAGAGAUCUGGAGGAACACCGAUGGCGAAGGCAGCCCCCUGGGCUAACACUGACGCUCAUGCACGAAAGCGUGGGGAGCAAACAGGAUUAGAUACCCUGGUAGUCCACGCCCUAAACGAUGUCAACUGGUUGUCGGGGAAGUAAUUCCUUGGUAACGAAGCUAACGCGUGAAGUUGACCGCCUGGGGAGUACGGCCGCAAGGCUA